GCAAUGGUGGUUCAGUGGUAGAGUUCUCGCCUCCCAUGUGGGAGACCUGGGUUUGAUUGCCAGCCAGUGCA
rfam:Loxodonta africana unplaced genomic scaffold scaffold_11, whole genome shotgun sequence.